rnacentral:rRNA from 1 species
GAUGAACGCUGGCGGCGUGCUUAACACAUGCAAGUCGAACGAUGAAGCCCAGCUUGCUGGGUGGAUUAGUGGCGAACGGGUGAGUAACACGUGAGUAACCUGCCCUUAACUCUGGGAUAAGCCUGGGAAACUGGGUCUAAUACCGGAUAGGAGCGCCUACCGCAUGGUGGGUGUUGGAAAGAUUUAUCGGUUUUGGAUGGACUCGCGGCCUAUCAGCUUGUUGGUGAGGUAAUGGCUCACCAAGGCGACGACGGGUAGCCGGCCUGAGAGGGUGACCGGCCACAAUGGGACUGAGACACGGACCAGAAUCCUACGGGAGGCAGCAGUGGGGAAUAUUGCACAAUGGGCGAAAGCCUGAUGCAGCGACGCCGCGUGAGGGAUGACGGCCUUCGGGUUGUAAACCUCUUUCAGUAGGGAAGAAGCGAAAGUGACGGUACCUGCAGAAGAAGCACCGGCUAACUACGUG